CAGGCCUCCCUGUCAAUCAGGAGCACUGGCCGGACGACUAUCCCCCUAGAAUUACUUCAGGCCAGGGCCGUUCUGGAGGUGCACUGCCACAGGAGGUCGAACCACGAAUCGUUGAUUGGCUUAUCAAAAUUAUGUGCAAGAUUGUCGGAUUAUGUUCGUAACGGAAAUGAAGUGAAUAAAGGACGGUAGCGCCUUGUCA